rnacentral:rRNA from 1 species
GACAGAGGGUGCAAACGUUUGUUCGGAAUUACUGGGCGUAAAGCGCGUGUAGGCGGCUAAGUAAGUCGGGCGUGAAAUCCCACGGCUCAACCGUGGAAGUGCACUCGAAACUGCAUAGCUAGAGUCCUGGAGAGGAAGGUGGAAUGCUUGGUGUAGAGGUGAAAUUCGUAGAUAUCAAGCGGAACACCGGUGGCGAAGGCGGCCUUCUGGACAGUGACUGACGCUGAGACGGCGAAAAGCGUGGGGAGCAAACAGG